rnacentral:rRNA from 1 species
UGGGGAAUAUUGCACAAUGGGCGCAAGCCUGAUGCAGCCAUGCCGCGUGUGUGAAGAAGGCCUUCGGGUUGUAAAGCACUUUCAGCGGGGAGGAAGGCGUUAAGGUUAAUAACCUUGGCGAUUGACGUUACCCGCAGAAGAAGCACCGGCUAACUCCGUGCCAGCAGCCGCGGUAAUACGGAGGGUGCAAGCGUUAAUCGGAAUUACUGGGCGUAAAGCGCACGCAGGCGGUCUGUCAAGUCGGAUGUGAAAUCCCCGGGCUCAACCUGGGAACUGCAUUCGAAACUGGCAGGCUAGAGUCUUGUAGAGGGGGGUAGAAUUCCAGGUGUAGCGGUGAAAUGCGUAGAGAUCUGGAAGAAUACCGGUGGCGAAGGCGGCCCCCUGGACAAAGACUGACGCUCAGGUGCGAAAGCGUGGGGAGCAAACAGG